ensembl:lncRNA
CCCGUCACUGAAAUCACAAUGCAUAUAUAUACUCAAACACAGACAGAUAAGAAUAUUAUGACUAAAUCUAUUUACCAGAAUUAUGACUAAAGCAUUAAUUUCCUCUGUAAUGUGAUAUACAUAUGACUAAUAUUAACCAAACAUUUGUUUUUUUUCAACUAAGCACAUAACUUGUAUUAUCUUAUAGCCAUAUAGGCAUUAUUUUGACACACUCAUCUCUGACCGAUGACAGAAUUCUUCCUGAUUGUUACACUGAAACAUGUUUUUUUCUGUGAAACUGCUUUGUAUUGUGAAAAGUGUUAUUUACAUAAACUUGAAUAUGGCAAAUGCCAUGCAUGCUCAUUAAUUUGACAUUUUUAGGCUUGUUUCUAAGACAUUUGAUCACAAAUCACAGCAAGUGACCUUCUUCAGCCAUGGCUCCAAGUGAAAAAUGUUACAUGUAUGCAUGCACUAACAUAAUACAAUGGGUACAAAAUCGAUCACUAACUUUUCAAGCGUAUGAUUUGAGGAUGACGUUAGAUAGCUUUAUUAAAACGCUAUCCGACCUAUUACGGGCUUUUGUUAGGAGACAUAGGCGUCAGUUGAGUCCCAGACAGUGUGUUCGACUCCCCAGAGAGUUCAGGUACUCUCUCAGACACAAUCUGUCUGCUUCUGUCGGGAAGCAACAUCAACGAAAAGGAGUAAUAUGCACCUAAAAUGGCAUGCUGUUGCUUUAAAAGACACAUCUCUAUACGUCCCUGUUAAAUUCGAACGCAAAUUCCUAUUGUAAGGGUUCGAAGAAUGUCUAUUAUGACAUCAUCAGUGGAAUGAAUAAGUAUUCUGCCCCAAUUCCGAUCACACCUGCCACUGAAAACACGCGCAAACGCAUAUCGAUCCUCCAUUUGCAAAGGUUACAGCUCUGAGUCUUCACCUAUGAUGCCUGAUGAGUUUGGAGAACAGCUGAGAAGAGAUCAGAGACCAUUCCUUCAUCCAGAAUCACUCCAGAUCCUUCAGAUUCCCAGCUCCUUGUCUGUGCUUCUCCUCUUUAGUUCACCACACUCAUUUUCUAUAGGGUUCAGGUCAGGGGACUGGGAUGGCCAUGGCAGAAACUUUGUUGUGCUCAGUGACCCAUUUUUGUGUUGAUUUAGAUUUUUAUUUUGGAUCAUUGUCCUGAAUGAAGAUCCAACCAAGGCCCAUUGUAAGAUUCUUAACAGAGGCAGUCAGGUUUUGAUUUUUUUAUUUGAUAGAAUCCAUGAUGCCAUGUGUCUAAACACGAUUUCCAGGACCUCUGAAAGACCUCCUUAGGCUUUCUGACCCCAAGACUCUCCUCCUCACGUG